rnacentral:rRNA from 1 species
CCUGAUGCGCACGCCGCGUGGGGGAUGAAGGCCUUCGGGUUGUAAACCCCUUUUAGCAGGGAAGAAGCGAAAGUGACGGUACCUGCAGAAAAAGCGCCGGCUAACUACGUGCCAGCAGCCGCGGUAAUACGUAGGGCGCAAGCGUUGUCCGGAAUUAUUGGGCGUAAAGAGCUCGUAGGCGGUUUGUCGCGUCUGCUGUGAAAGUCCGAGGCUCAACCUCGGAUCUGCAGUGGGUACGGGCAGACUAGAGUGUGGUAGGGGAGACUGGAAUUCCUGGUGUAGCGGUGGAAUGCGCAGAUAUCAGGAGGAACACCAAUGGCGAAGGCAGGUCUCUGGGCCAUAACUGACGCUGAGGAGCGAAAGCGUGGGGAGCGAACAGGAUUAGAUACCCUGGUAGUCCACGCCGUAAACGGUGGGCACUAGAUGUGGGGCUCUUUCCAUGAGUUCCGCGUCGCAGCUAACGCAUUAAGUGCCCCGCCUGGGGAGUACGGCCGCAAGGCUAAA